AUGGGAGGAGGAGGAGCACCUCGCCGUCGAGGCACAGCUUGCCGCGGAGCAUGCUCACGUUGCUGCCGUCGCCAUCCUUCACACUGUUCCGAACGUGGUGGUAGAGCACCUUACCACCGAGCGCCAAGCACCUCGCCACCCUUCACACUGAUCCGGUUGUCACGAACCUCGAUGACAACAACAACGACAACGGCGAAGAGCCAGAGAAGCCUAGGGGCAACCAUGAAGAUGAGGCAUCAGGGUUCAAAACCUUUGUUGUGCUCCAUGCUCAUAUAUAGAUGUUAUUUUUUAUUGUCGUAUUGCUUUGCAUGA
rnacentral:rRNA from 1 species